ACCAAAGACUACGCCACGUUAACUACACCAGUUCUCGUCCGAUCACUGAAGUUAAGCAAGUUGGGCAUGAUCAGUACUCGGAUGGGUGACCGUCUGGGAGAUCACGUGUUGUUGGUU
rnacentral:rRNA from 1 species